UCUUCAGCGGGACUUGGAAUUCCUGGAGAAUUCAGUUGCCUUUGUGAAAGCUGGCAUAAUUUCUUUAAAUUUCAUCUCUUAGUGUUUCCCAUUUUGUUGUUUCAGAAAGAUAUCAAGAAACCAUGAACAACUUUAGUAAUGAAGAGUUUGACUGCCAUUUCUUGGAUGAAGGCUUUACUGCCAAGGACAUCCGGGACCAAAAUAUGAAGUUUCUUCUUUUGACGGUUGCUGUUUCAGCAUUUCAAGGUCCUGUAGCCUGUUGGUGUUGUGGGAAGAGGUGAAGGAGCUGUGCUGACGGCACUGAGGCAUAUUUUCAAGAUCCCAAUGUGAUUCCUCAACAUCAUAUCGAUGAGAAAACGACCCAGAGCAGGAGGAAGGAGAGGAGGAAAUGGCAGCUUCUCAGUACUUCUCUACAAGAAACCUGAAUAUCCACAAAAGCUCUUUCGUUCUUAAGUGAUGGAG